GGAGGUGACUGGAGUCUGGUGGCUUCCCUGGUCUUCAAAACUAUGGACACGCCGGCAAGGCGUGUGGUGGGUUCGAUUCCCAUCCACCUCC
rnacentral:tRNA from 20 species